CCCUGGUAGUCCACGCCGUAAACGAUGUCGACUUGGAGGUUGUUCCCUUGAGGAGUGGCUUCCGGAGCUAACGCGUUAAGUCGACCGCCUGGGGAGUACGGCCGCAAGGUUAAAACUCAAAUGAAUUGACGGGGGCCCGCACAAGCGGUGGAGCAUGUGGUUUAAUUCGAUGCAACGCGAAGAACCUUACCUACUCUUGACAUCCAGAGAACUUAGCAGAGAUGCUUUGGUGCCUUCGGGAACUGUGAGACAGGUGCUGCAUGGCUGUCGUCAGCUCGUGUUGUGAAAUGUUGGGUUAAGUCCCGCAACGAGCGCAACCCUUAUCCUUUGUUGCCAGCGAUUCGGUCGGGAACUCAAAGGAGACUGCCGGUGAUAAACCGGAGGAAGGUGGGGAUGACGUCAAGUCAUCAUGGCCCUUACGAGUAGGGCUACACACGUGCUACAAUGGCGCAUACAAAGAGAAGCGACCUCGCGAGAGCAAGCGGACCUCAUAAAGUGCGUCGUAGUCCGGAUCGGAGUCUGCAACUCGACUCCGUGAAGUCGGAAUCGCUAGUAAUCGUGGAUCAGAAUGCCACGGUGAAUACGUUCCCGGGCCUUGUACACACCGCCCGUCACACCAUGGGAGUGGGUUGCAAAAGAAGUAGGUAGCUUAACCUUCGGGAGGGCGCUUACCACUUUGUGAUUCAUGACUGGGGUGAAGUC
rnacentral:rRNA from 1 species